rnacentral:rRNA from 1 species
UGGGGAAUCUUCGACAAUGGGGGAAACCCUGAUCUAGCCAUGCCGCGUGAGUGACGAAGGCCUUAGGGUCGUAAAGCUCUUUCGCCAGGGAUGAUAAUGACAGUACCUGGUAAAGAAACCCCGGCUAACUCCGUGCCAGCAGCCGCGGUAAUACGGAGGGGGUUAGCGUUGUUCGGAAUUACUGGGCGUAAAGGGCGCGUAGGCGGUCUGUUGCGUCAGGUGUGAAAGCCCCGGGCUCAACCUGGGAGGUGCACUUGAUACGGGCAGGCUACAAUGCGGGAGAGGAUGGUGGAAUUCCCAGUGUAGAGGUGAAAUUCGUAGAUAUUGGGAAGAACACCGAUGGCGAAGGCAGCCAUCUGGACCGGUAUUGACGCUGAGGCGCGAAAGCGUGGGGAGCAAACAGGAUUAGAUACCCCGGUAGUCC